rnacentral:rRNA from 1 species
GAGGUGGUGCAUGGCCGUCGCCAGCUCGUGCCGUGAGAUGUCCUGUUAAGUCAGGUAACGAGCGAGACCCCUGCGUCUAGUUGCUACCAUUACUCUCUGGAGCANNNGAGCGAAUUAGACGGACCGCCACAGUUAAUGUGGAGGAAGGAAGGGGCCACGGCAGGUCAGUAUGCCCCGAAACCCUAGGGCUACACGCGGGCUGCAAUGGUAUUGACAAUGUGUUCCGAAUCCGAAAGGAGGAGGCAAUCAUCAAACAAUAUCUCAGUUAUGACUGAGGGCUGUAACUCGCCCUCACGAAUAUGGAAUCCCUAGUAACCGCGCGUCACUACCGCGC